rnacentral:rRNA from 1 species
ACGGGUGAGGAAUACAUCGGAAUCUACUUUUUCGUGGGGGAUAACGUAGGGAAACUUACGCUAAUACCGCAUACGACCUACGGGUGAAAGCAGGGGAUCUUCGGACCUUGCGCGAUUAAAUGAGCCGAUGUCGGAUUAGCUAGUUGGCGGGGUAAAGGCCCACCAAGGCGACGAUCCGUAGCUGGUCUGAGAGGAUGAUCAGCCACACUGGAACUGAGACACGGUCCAGACUCCUACGGGAGGCAGCAGUGGGGAAUAUUGGACAAUGGGCGCAAGCCUGAUCCAGCCAUACCGCGUGGGUGAAGAAGGCCUUCGGGUUGUAAAGCCCUUUUGUUGGGAAAGAAAUCCAGCCGGCUAAUACCUGGUUGGGAUGACGGUACCCAAAGAAUAAGCACCGGCUAACUUCGUGCCAGCAGCCGCGGUAAUACGAAGGGUGCAAGCGUUACUCGGAAUUACUGGGCGUAAAGCGUGCGUAGGUGGUUGUUUAAGUCUGUUGUGAAAGCCCUGGGCUCAACCUGGGAACUGCAGUGGAAACUGGACAACUAGAGUGUGGUAGAGGGUAGCGGAAUUCCCGGUGUA